UACGUAGGGGGCAAGCGUUGUCCGGAUUUAUUGGGCGUAAAGAGCGUGUAGGCGGCCAGACAGGUCCGUUGUGAAAACUCGAGGCUCAACCUCGAGACGUCGGUUGAAACCGUCUGGCUAGAGUCCGGAAGAGGAGAGUGGAAUUCCCGGUGUAGCGGUGAAAUGCGCAGAUAUCGGGAAGAACACCCGUGGCGAAGGCGGCUCUCUGGGACGGUACUGACGCUGAGACGCGGAAAGCGUGGGGAGCGAACAGG
rnacentral:rRNA from 1 species